rnacentral:rRNA from 1 species
AUGAUUACAAUCUGGAUACAACAUUCAGUCACACUAUUCACUGAAGUGUACAACCAGUUCACAUCAGUUACUAGCUCAAUCUGGCAUUUCUCCUACUGUUGUUGCUUUCCGUUGUUGUUGUUUCUCUGUUAUUGCUGCUUCUCUGCUGUCUGCACAACUAAAAUUACAGUUCCUGCACAACUGAAACUGAAGACACAGCAAGGCAAAGCAAGCAGCAAACCAAUGCAACGCGAGGCAAGCAGCAGAGGAACCCUUCGAGAAGAAUCGGCGGCAUCGACGAUGCUUGGUCCGCGGCUCAACGGUCUCGACGGCACCGGGGGCGUCGCACCCUGUACGCGGCCGCCGCUGGCUCCGCCACCUCGACGGAUAGGCAUCGUCAUGCCAUGGAUGGGGCAACGGCUGGCUCUGCCGCUCCACGGCUACGCUGCUCGCGCCCUGAUAGUGCAGCGGCUGCUCUUCACCGCCGGCGUAGCGAACCCUAGGGAGAGACAAGAGUGA